UAUUGCUCCAGCCCCUUCUAUACUAAAAUUGGAACGAUACAGAGAAGUUUAGCAUGGCCCCUGCGCAAGGAUGACACACAAAUUCUCAUAUAAAUUAUUUAAAAAUUUUU